rnacentral:rRNA from 1 species
GUGGGGAAUAUUGGACAAUGGGGGGCAACCCUGAUCCAGCAAUGCCGCGUGUGUGAAGAAGGUCUUCGGAUUGUAAAGCACUUUCGACGGGGACGAUGAUGACGGUACCCGUAGAAGAAGCCCCGGCUAACUUCGUGCCAGCAGCCGCGGUAAUACGAAGGGGGCUAGCGUUGCUCGGAAUGACUGGGCGUAAGGGCGUGUAGGCGGUUUACACAGUCAGAUGUGAAAAU